GACGAACGCUGGCGGCGUGCUUAACACAUGCAAGUCGAACGGUAAGGCCCUUCGGGGUACACGAGUGGCGAACGGGUGAGUAACACGUGGGUGAUCUGCCCUGCACUUCGGGAUAAGCCUGGGAAACUGGGUCUAAUACCGGAUAGGACUCCGGACUGCAUGGUCUGGGGUGGAAAGCUUUUGCGGUGUGGGAUGGGCCCGCGGCCUAUCAGCUUGUUGGUGGGGUGAUGGCCUACCAAGGCGACGACGGGUAGCCGGCCUGAGAGGGUGACCGGCCACACUGGGACUGAGAUACGGCCCAGACUCCUACGGGAGGCAGCAGUGGGGAAUAUUGCACAAUGGGCACAAGCCUGAUGCAGCAACGCUGCGUGAAGGAUGACGGCCUUCGGGUUGUAAACCUCUUUCAGCAUCGACGAAGCGAAAGUGACGGUAGGUGCAGAAGAAGGACCGGCCAACUACGUGCCAGCAGCCGCCGUAA
rnacentral:rRNA from 1 species